rnacentral:rRNA from 1 species
CGAACGCUGGCGGCGUGGAUAAGACAUGCAAGUCGAACGGGAGAAUUGCUAGCUUGCUAAUAAUUCUCUAGUGGCGCACGGGUGAGUAACACGUGAGUAACCUGCCUCUUAGUGGGGGAUAGCCCUGGGAAACCGGGAUUAAUACCGCAUACGAUUGAAAGAUCAAAGCAGCAAUGCGCUAGGAGAUGGGCUCGCGGCCUAUUAGUUAGUUGGUGAGGUAACGGCUCACCAAGGCGAUGACGGGUAGCCGGUCUGAGAGGAUGUCCGGCCACACUGGAACUGAGACACGGUCCAGACACCUACGGGUGGCAGCAGUCGAGAAUCAUUCACAAUGGGGGCAACCCUGAUGGUGCGACGCCGCGUGGGGGAAUGAAGGUCUUCGGAUUGUAAACCCCUGUCAUGUGGGAGCAAAUUAAAAAGAUAGUACCACAAGAGGAAGAGACGGCUAACUCUGUGCCAGCAGCCGCGGUAAUACAGAGGUCUCAAGCGUUGUUCGGAAUCACUGGGCGUAAAGCGUGCGUAGGCUGUUUCGUAAGUCGUGUGUGAAAGGCAGGGGCUCAACCCCUGGAUUGCACAUGAUACUGCGAGACUAGAGUAAUGGAGGGGGAACCGGAAUUCUCGGUGUAGCAGUGAAAUGCGUAGAUAUCGAGAGGAACACUCGUGGCGAAGGCGGGUUCCUGGACAUUAACUGGCGCUGAGGCACGAAGGCCAGGGGAGCGAAAGGGAUUAGAUACCCCUGUAGUCCUGGCAGUAAACGGUGCACGCUUGGUGUGCGGGGAAUCGACCCCCUGCGUGCCGGAGCUAACGCGUUAAGCGUGCCGCCUGGGGAGUACGGUCGCAAGAUUAAAACUCAAAGAAAUUGACGGGGACCCGCACAAGCGGUGGAGUAUGUGGCUUAAUUCGAUGCAACGCGAAGAACCUUACCUGGGCUUGACAUGUAAUGAACAACAUGUGAAAGCAUGCGACUCUUCGGAGGCGUUACACAGGUGCUGCAUGGCCGUCGUCAGCUCGUGUCGUGAGAUGUUUGGUUAAGUCCAGCAACGAGCGCAACCCCUGUUGCCAGUUACCAGCACGUCAAGGUGGGGACUCUGGCGAGACUGCCCAGAUCAACUGGGAGGAAGGUGGGGACGACGUCAGGUCAGUAUGGCCCUUAUGCCCAGGGCUGCACACGUACUACAAUGCCCAGUACAGAGGGGGCCGAAGCCGCGAGGCGGAGGAAAUCCUGAAAACUGGGCCCAGUUCGGACUGUAGGCUGCAACCCGCCUACACGAAGCCGGAAUCGCUAGUAAUGGCGCAUCAGCUACGGCGCCGUGAAUACGUUCCCGGGUCUUGUACACACCGCCCGUCACAUCAUGGAAGCCGGUCGCACCCGAAGUAUCUGAAGCCAACCGCAAGGAGGCAGGGUCCUAAGGUGAGACUGGUAACUGGGAUG